UCUCUCUCUCUCUCUCUCUCUCUCUCUCUCUCUCUCUCUCUCUCUCUCUCUCUGCCUCUCUCUCUUUCUCUAAACUAUAUGCACUAACAUAUAUCAAAUCUCUCAGAAUGUUCGUGGAGGUUGUGGAAUCGUAGUCUUACUUCUUAUUCUUGGAACUAAGGUGGGGAUAAACUAAACCCAGCAAGGAUUGAGGUUUGUUUUAGGCAGUUGAGGUAAGAUUUCAUCUCCUUCUACAUGCAAUUGGGUAAAAAUGGCUAGCAUGUGAGCAUAAGGUUGGGAAUUCAUGAAAUUAUGACUAGGUUUUGAUAAGUGGCAUUGUAGCUUGAUAAUUGUGUUUAAAAGGGGUUGCAUAGGCAUUGUAGCUGUAGUUUGACAUUGGGACUAUGAUUAUCUUGAAAUUAUUAUCGAUAAGAACCGGAAAAAAUAAAAGAAUAACCUUAUCAGACUAUAAGCCGAGGUUGACAUUCGAUGUAAUAUAUUGUUGGUUGGAAAUUGAUGUAUAUGAACUAUACUUAGGUUGGAUUGUUCAUAUUUUGAUCACUAUGGAUAUGGAAAAUGUAUGAAAUACAAUGGAAAUGCUGCCCGAAUUAUCGUAGAGAUUACCCGUUGCUUAGAUACGUAAAAUUAGGGUUGGCAAAUUUUGGUAGAAGCAUUAUUCUAUGAAUUUAGGUUGAUAUUGAAGCAUAAAGAGGCAGUUGUUGAGGCAAUAAAGCGGAGAAACAUAAAGGUAUGUUAAGGCUUCUUCAUCUUCUCUCUUUUCUAGCAUGAUCCCAACAAUACGCGUAUGAAAACGAUUGUCCUAAAAGAAGUGACUCUAUUCUAAGUUCUGAAGAUGUUCAUGCCCUUUCCUCCAUGUCAUGUUUAGAAAGUUGAUAGGUUUUCCAUCUUGAUGUCAUGAAUUAUUCCUAAGAUCAUGAAAGGAUUAUGGGAAGUAUAUGAUUGUAUAUUCUUGUUUAGGCCAAGUCUUAUGUUGAUGAUUUUAGUAUUGUAACAUAUUUUAUGACCUUACAUCACUCCAGAUCUACUCUAUAUUGUUAAUCCAUGUGUCUCAUGCAUCGUGUAACAACUUUCUUAUCGCAUCGUGCUAUAAUCAUCCGGGCAGGCACUUAUAUGUGCAUGCCACUGAUCAGUUGGUCAAAUAUUACCACGUCCUAUAUGGCCGAGCAGCUUAUUAUGAGUUUACCCCACAAAAGAAAUUGAUAUGAUACUAUAUGGCCCUAUAGAGCGGUCCGAUCUUACCUACAUGCAUGUAUUCAUGGUUAUGUCAGUUGUGUACCCUCAGCGGCCUUUUCUGAGUUACAGGUUAAUUUGGUUACAUCUUCCUUUGGUUUUACAACACUUAUUUACAUGUUUUACCUACCUUACAUAUUCAGUACAUCUUUCGUACUGAUGUCCCUUCUGGGGUGCUGUGUUUGGCACUUGUCAACUGUUGAUAUACUUGUGAUGGCCUCAUCGGCCUUAGCUUAUAUAUAUAUGUUGUGUUGGGCCUUUUCUCAUUGCAGGCUGUUGUUUUUUUCUACCUUAUCCUUGUCUUUGGGAGGCGUUGUUGGCCUAAGUUUCAUAUUGUGGUAUUCAUGUAUUGUAGUUGGUUCACUCGGAGCUUGGGGUGCCGAGUAUCGGCCUCACCCCCAAGGUAUGGGUGCGAUAUUUCUAAACUCAUUCGAGGAUGAACAUUUGCUUAAGAGGGGGAGAAUGUAAUGACCCAGCCAGUCAUUUUGUGUAUCCAAGAACGUAAGCACGUUCCCAUAUUUGAUGUUUUCCUUAUGCGUCUUUAUGGUUUUUUGACUCGGGGCGGGGGGGAUGGUUGGUUGGCUUCGAGAAUGCUUAAGAGUGAAGUGAGACACUUAGUCUCAUUUUGGAAGCUUAAGUUGCAAGAGCCGAUCUAGGUUUGACUUUUGAGUAAAAUACCUCGAAUUUGUAUUUUGAUGGUUCCAAUAGGUUUGAAUAGUUAUUUUGGAUUUAGGUGAAUGUUCACAAUUGGAUUUGGAGGUUCCUAUGAUGUUUUGGCACUAUUUGCCGGAAGUAGCCAAUUUAAAAGUUUGGAGAGUUCAUAGGUUUGAUCGGGGGCUAAUUUUAGUGAUUUCAGAGUUAGAUUUAUGUUCAAGAACUUGGAAUAGGAUCUUUAUGUAAUUUGGAAAUUUUAUACAAAGUUUGGUUGGAAUCCGGAUUGGUUAGGGUUAAAUAUGGUAUUUGGUUGCAAGUUGGAAAUUCUUGAACUUAAGAGAUUGAUUUGAUUGUCGUCCUUGGUUUUAAUAUUAUUCAUUGUGUUUUGAGCAUCUUGAUAAGUUUAAAUAAGGUAUUGGGACUUGUGGAAUGUUCGGACGGAGUCUCGAGGGCCUCAGGAGUGUUUUGCAUUCAUUCCAAGCUAGGAUGGUGUGUUAUGGCAUUGCUGGUUUUUGGCUGAGUUCUUGUGCACCGCACCUGCAGCCAUGUAGGUCACACCUACGAAGCCGCAUAUAUGGGAUUUUAUCCGCAGUAGCAUAAAUAGGAAGAGGCCAAGUAGAUCGCAUAUGUGAUGGAUAUGCACAGAUGCGGUGUUCGCAGGUGCGAGGGAAGUGCGCAGAAGCUCAUCCGAUGAUAUGAAAGGGGGGUUACAGAUGCAUGGGGUCGGCAAAAUAAGUGAUUUGCGCAUCUGCGAAGGUGUUUAUUGCAUAUGUGAUUGUCGCGCCAUGUUUUCUUGCGAAAUCGGGUUUCAACAUCGACAACUCUUUUAAGAAAGGGAAGGAAUGGUUAUUAAAAGAGAGUCGCCACCUAACGGAUUAAGGUGCAUUGGGGCACCUAUUACAAAUGACUCAGGUUUAGUAGUUGUGUCACCAAAUAUCGGGUAAGGGCUCAAAUUACCUCGAGGAGAAGGUGUUAGGCACUCCUCGAGGUCUACAACGGUGGGUCCCGGUCGAACUCAAAUCACGUGAAUUAGUCUAAUAGAGAAAAGAUGGAAUUAUUAAUAGAAAUAGGGGGUCCUAUGUUUUUAGCCUAAAGGAUCACCUCGUGCAACAUAAAUAAUACUUCGUAAUUCCCCCAAGACGGGGGUGUUACUCAUAUUAUUCAGCGGGAACAAACUAUCAUCUCCUGCUACCUGAUUACUAUCUUUAAGUUAUUUACCUAAAAGCACUCUAAUCAAUUCUAAAUCACGCCCUAUGCUUGCACUACCCAUCCCUUACCUAUGGUCCCGGAGGCAUUUGGACCUCUAUUUUGGAUGGUUCUAGACUUAACUUAGGUUUCUCAAAAAAUGGUAAAACUAAGCGACAUACAAAAACAAGUUGGACUUUCAAAUAAAAGCAACUAGGGGCUCAGAUUAGCCUCCACAUAUAGGGAGCAAAUGCACGCAAACAGAUUAGGCGUAUUGACAGUUUCAACAGUUAAGGUUGUUAGGUCCUAUAGGCAUGAUCUCUAGGUGAUUCUGAAUUCUAAUCAUAUUGGCAGUUGUGUAAAGUAAUUUCUAAGUGACUGCGUAGUUGCCUACUGAUUAUAAUUAGAAGCAGUUAAACCUAUUGACAUAUUAUCUAGGCGAAUUAUUCAGCGGUUGACAGUGAUAACGACAAAGGAUAUUCAAAAUUACUCAGUUGUUCCUAUAGGCAUGCUUUCUAGUGACAUUCAGCAAGACAGUACAUGAAGUUUCAGUUUUAGUAAUAAUGCAUAGGCUAUGGACAUGAGUUCUAACUUUGAUGAUUGAAACUACUAUUAGUUCUUAUAGACAUGCAUACUAACUGAGCAAGUGUGACAGUCGAUUAAACCUACAGGCAUGAUUUCUAAAGAGGCAGAUUUGAAUAUGCUGUAAUGAAAGUUGAACCUUAGUUAUUUUAUUUCCUAUAGGCAUGAUGUCUAAUCAUGUAAAGAAAAGUAGGUAGGAUAUUCACAGAACUUAUUUGAGCCAAAGCAAAUCCCUAUAGGCAGGUUAUCUACAGAGUAUAUUUGAGUCAAAGUAAACCCCUAUAAGCAGGCUAUCUAACACGUAAUAACAGACAGAGUAAAUAUCUAGGCAAGGUUUUUAACAUAUAAUAGCAGAAUAUUUUGAAUAAAGUAAAGCAUAUAGGAAGGUUAUCUAACAUACAAUAGCGCAAAGUAAACACCUAUAGGCAUGUUACCCAUUUUAUAAAAUAUCAAAAAUAAGCCCAUUUCCCAAUUUAUUGUUGCCCCAACUGUUAUUACAAAUAAUUAUUACAGACCGGAAUCAAAUGAAUGAAUUACAAGGUAUAUAACUAUAGGAAGCCUGUAGCAGAACCAAAUACGACCGGACAGGCCAGACCUUCAACUCACAAUAACUCCAAAAGCCCAUGUUCAUUGAUACAUAGUGACCAGCAGUGAAUGAAUCACCUCUAUCUCAAGGAUAAGUAUACCAAGCUCAAAUCUCUAGUGUGUCAGAGUUCCCAAGGUCUUUAAGAACCCCAAGCAGUGCUCGCACUAGAGAGGAAUGAUCAGAAUAAUUGAAGGAAAAUUAUGGACCAAAUCCUGGUGUGUCAGAGUUCAUGAGGGUCUCAUAUAAACCCAGAGCAGUGCUCACACUAGAAAAGCCUGGGGCUUUAGCUUUCAGCCAACAAAGAGUGAGAAUUCAAGAGAGAAGGAUAGGAUUGGACAGUGCAUGUAGGGACAAAAUCACAAAUAGAACAAACAUAUUUGAAACUAAGCAGACUUGAUAAAGUUUUGAAAGUCAACAAAGUCACAUACUAAUAAGGAUCAGUUCAUGCUUCACAAAGAAGACAAAGAUUUCAUAUCAGGCUAAGUCAAAGAAGGGGAGCUAAUAAGUCAGGAAAACAUUAAUUAGCAGUAACAAUUUAACAAAGGUAUCCUAACAUGGUGCGCACAAAAACAGACAAGUAACAUGGCAACAGGUUUAACAAUAAGCUAAUGAGUCUACUAAGACAUACAUAAUUAACUAGCUCUUAAGGAAAGGUAUCAAAACAUGCUUAAUGCUAAAAGAUAAUCCUAAGUUAUACAGAGUUAAGCAUAUUCCAUUAAUUAGUUCACUGAGUUCAACAUGUCUUGAAUACAGAAAAUAACAAGUCUAAUAAAAGUAACAUAUUAAACGAGUAAUAAAGUAACAAAGGAUUAAAUGACUUACCGAUUCAGAUGAAACUGAAAAGAAUCUAGCAAUGUAACAAUGGUCACCAACAGAAGCAAACAAUAGAGGAUUUCUAGCCUUGGCUUGCCGGCCAGGAAUCAAAACACAGAAUAAUAACAGUGUAUAGUUUAUGGUAGUGAGAAUAUUUCGAACUCUGAGUCUAAAGGGGAAUGGGGGAGGACUUUAAAUAGAACUAAAUUAGAGCACACAAAUAUGGCAAUAAUUAGUCAAAGUACUAGAAAGGAAAGUACCUAACAGUUAGUUAGGAAAGAAAAACUCGAAACCCUAGUUUAGGUAAAACAUACAAAAUCGGCAGAAAUAACAAGUAAAGAGAUGUAUAUAGACAAAGACUUUAACAUAAUAAUCAAAAAAUCGAACGGAUUUGAUUUGAUUUCGAAAACCCAUAAAUUUUGGAUAAGUAAAAAUUAGUCAGAAAUUAACAAAGAGAGUUAUAAUAGGAUGCACAGAGACAGAUAGACGGAAACAUUAAAGGAAAAAUAAUUAAAGAAUCGAGAACCAGAUUAGAUCUAGAAAGAUCUAAACUCUAGUUUAAGGGUAAGUAGAAAAUCGCGAAGAAUCUCAGAGAUUUAUAUCAUAAAGAAACGAGAACGAACACAGAUGGAAAGAGGUUAAAGAUUUGAAUCGGAUUUGGUUUAAAAUUAAAGAGAUUUGCUUGCCCUGUUAGGAAAGCAAUUAUGUAACACCAUAAGCGAGUAACCAGGAGUGAGAGGGGGUCAACAAGGUAAGGAAUCAUUGAUUGAUUCAAUUUUGGGUUGGAAUCAGAGAGGCUAAUAGGUGACGGCGCUAGGGUUUCCAUAGAAGAGAAGAAGAAGGGAGAGCAUUUAGUGGCUGCGGGGUUUAGGGAAUGAGGGGAUUAGGGUUGGCAUAGUUAAUUUAAAAUGGGAGAAUAAAUGAGGGCCAUUGAUCUUGAAAGAUCAUCGGCCAGGACUUAAGGGAGAUUGGGUCGGGUUUAAAAACGAGUAGGAGGACUGGGCUAGUGGGGUUUUGGGCUAAGGUAUUGGGCUAGGUAUUAGGUAAUUGGGCUGGGGGGUUGGUCUGAAAGUAGGCUAAAAAAUGGGCUAUUAUUUAAAUACCCAAAUUUAAUUAAUAAAUAGUUUGUAAAAUUAAUAAAUAAAUAAAUGAAAAUAUCAUUUGUGCAUAAAAAUAAAUAAAAUAGUUAUAUAACAUUAUAAAAGUAUAAAAAGAUUAUUUUGGCAUAAAUAAAAUAAUUAUAAGUACAUAUAGGCUAUUAUUGCAAAUGUCUAAUUUUAGCCUUGAAAAUACAAAUGUAAUUAUGACAAAUAUGUUAAAAAUAUUUAAAACCUAAUAUGGGUAUAAAUGGUGAAAUUAAAUGAUAAAAGCAUUGUAGAAUAAUUUGUAAGGUAAUUAAUGAUAUUUAUAUAAUAAAAAUACAGGAAUAAAUUGAUUUAAAAUCUUUUACAAAUUAUAGAAAAUUAUGAAAAAUACUUGUAUAUGUUUAUAAAUCAAAUGAUGGUACAUAUGUACUAUUUUGAAAGUAUAUAUAUAUAUUUAAAAAAAUAUGAGGGAAAAAUUAGGUAUCAACAGCGAUUUCGCAUAAGCGACUUUAUUGUCCGCAGAUGCGAAAAUCACUGGGCAAGGGGUGUAUUUGAGGGUUUGAGUUAUUUUCACUAGUUUGAAUAUUGGAGCUCGGCUAAAUGCAAUUUUUGGGGAGGAUUGCAUUACCACUUUGAGGAUAAGUGAUUUCUACUGGAUUUGUUGAUAUAUCUAUCUUUCCUAUUUUUACACAUAUACUAUGAUAUUUGUAAGAGAAAUUUUGGGAGGUUUUACUACAAUUUUUGAGAUUUGGACUCGAUUUUGAAAUCUAAUCGCAUAUUUAAACUUGUGAGUUAUGGGUAGUCGGGAUCUACCCCUUGACUCAGGUUUUGACCGUGUGGGUCAGCUUGACUUUUGGGAAUUUAAUUAGAGAUUCGAACUUUAUUGUCUGGAAUUGAUUCCUAUGCCAUUGUAUGAUGUUAUUGAGUUUCAUUUGACUAGAUUUGACCUGUUCGGAGGUUGAUUUGAGAGGGAAAGCUAUUUUGGAAGGUUGAAGGCUACCAGGUGGAGGUAAAUCUCUUGGCUAAUCUUGUUAAGAGGGAAACCCCUAGGAUUUAACUUUACUGCUAUGUGUUUAAUGUAUUAGAGGUGGUAUAUAUAUGUGGUGGCGACGUAUAUGUACUUACCAUAUUUACAUCAUGACCGGGGUAGAAUUAGGAUACUUUGUGCCUUUUUUAGCUAUAUGCUCAUUUGAUUCAUGAUUUAUUUGACUUAUAUGAUUACGUUUACUCUCUUAUUCAUGUUAAAGAUUAUGCCUAGAUUUAUGGUUAUUUAUGAAGGCAUGAGAACUUAUUCUUGCUUUUUUGAAUUGCUUGAAUUAUCCGUAGUCAUAUAAAGUUCCAGGAG
rnacentral:lncRNA from 1 species